rnacentral:misc_RNA from 1 species
UGGUUCUGGCAUCGAUGAAGAACGCAGCGAAAUGCGAUAAGUAGUGUGAAUUGCAGAAUUUAGUGAAUCAUCGAAUCUUUGAACGCACAUUGCGCCCGUUAGCAUUCUAGCGGGCAUGCCUGUUCGAGCGUCAUUUCAACCCUCAGGCCCUGGCUGCCUGGCGUUGGAGCGCUAGCACGCUGCGUGCUAGGCUCCGAAAAGCAGUGGCGGGCCCGUGAGGCACCCCGAACGUAGUGAACUAUGCUUUUCGUUCAGGGGCGUGCCGCGGCGCACAGCCGUAAAAAAAACCACACAUUUUCAAAAGGUUGACCUCGGAUCAGGUAGGAAUACCCGCUGA